AACGUAGGUGGCGAGCGUUAUCCGGAUUUACUGGGCGUAAAGCGCACGUAGGCGGCUAUUUAAGUCAGGGGUGAAAUCCCGCAGCUCAACUGCGGAACUGCCUUUGAUACUGGGUAUCUUGAGUAUGGAAGAGGUAAGUGGAAUUCCGAGUGUAGAGGUGAAAUUCGUAGAUAUUCGGAGGAACACCAGUGGCGAAGGCGGCUUACUGGUCCAUUACUGACGCUGAGGUGCGAAAGCGUGGGGAGCAAACAGG
rnacentral:rRNA from 1 species